CGUGUUAAGUGGAAAAGGAUGUGGGAUUUCGAAGACAACUAGGAUGUUGGCUCAGAAGCAGCCAUACAUUCAAAGAGUGCGUAAUAGCUCACUAGUCGAGAGGUCCUGCGCCGAAAAUGUCCGGGGCUGAAACACAACACCGAAGCUCAGGAAUGUAUUUAUACAUUGGUAGAGGAGCAUUCUUAAAGGGGCGAAGCAGUACCGAUAAGGAGCUGUGGACUUUUAAGAAGAGAGAAUGCCGGAAUGAGUAGCGAGAUGGAGGUGGGAAUCCUCCAGGCCGAAUAUCCAAGGUUUCCAGAGUAAAGCUGAUCUGCUCUGGGUAAGUCGGGACCUAAGGCGAGGUCGAAAGACGUAGUCGAUGGAUAACAGGUUGAAAUUCCUGUACUAUCCUGUAACAGAACUGUGGGGACACAGGCAGAGAGCGUGAGCCGGGAAUGGAAAGACCGGUACAAGCGAGGUAGGAGAAGAGUUGGCAAAUCCGCUCUUUAAUCUGAAGACGUGAUGUGGACUGAAAAUAAGUAGGGAAGCACGUGAGCUGACUGUCAAGAAAAGCCGCUAUUGUUUGCAGGAUACCCGUACCGUAAACCGACACAGGUGGAUGAGGAGAGAAUCCUAAGGCCGACGGGAGAAGCAUUGUUAAGGAACUCGGCAAAAUGACUCCGUAACUUCGGGAGAAGGAGUGCCAGUAAGAUGGCCGCAGAGAAUUGGCCCAAGCAACUGUUUAGCAAAAACACAGGUCUAUGCAAAACCGUAAGGUGAAGUAUAUGGGCUGACGCCUGCCCGGUGCUGGAAGGUUAAGGGGAGAGGUUAGCGCAAGCGAAGCUUUGAACUUAAGCCCCAGUAAACGGCGGCCGUAACUAUAACGGUCCUAAGGUAGCGAAAUUCCUUGUCGGGUAAGUUCCGACCCGCACGAAAGGCGUAAUGAUUUGGGCACUGUCUCAACGAUACACCCGGUGAAAUUGAAAUACCAGUGAAGAUGCUGGUUACCUGCGCCAGGACGGAAAGACCCCAUGGAGCUUUACUCCAGUUUGAUACUGGGAUUCGGCAUGGUAUGUACAGGAUAGGUGGGAGACUGAGAAGGUAUGACGUCAGUUGUACCGGAGUCGCUGUUGGGAUACCACCCUUACCAUGUUGGAUUUCUAACCUGUGGCCGUGAACCGGUCAGGGGACAAUGUCAGGCGGGGAGUUUGACUGGGGCGGUCGCCUCCGAAAGGGUAUCGGAGGCGCUCAAAGGUUCCCUCAGAAUGGUUGGAAACCAUUCGAAGAGUGCAAAGGCAGAAGGGAGCUUGACUGCGACACCGACGGGUGGAGCAGGUACGAAAGUAGGACUUAGUGAUCCGGUGGUAUAAAGUGGGAUUGCCAUCGCUCAACGGAUAAAAGCUACCCUGGGGAUAACAGGCUUAUCACUCCCAAGAGUUCACAUCGACGGAGUGGUUUGGCACCUCGAUGUCGGCUCAUCGCAUCCUGGGGCUGAAGUCGGUCCCAAGGGUUGGGCUGUUCGCCCAUUAAAGCGGUACGCGAGCUGGGUUCAGAACGUCGUGAGACAGUUCGGUCC
rnacentral:rRNA from 1 species